GGUGCGGUGAGGGGCGGGGCGACGCUGACCAGGGAGGAGCUGCCUACUUCGUGCUGCAGGUGAUCGCGAGAGAUUAGCGACACAUUCGCAGAUGACACACGCGCAGGUCUGCUCCGUAACCGCUCUACAUUACGCUGCUCGACGUGAACGAUUCACCGCCGCGCUUCGUCAGGGGGCGCCACGUGGCUACGGUGGUUGAGAACAUUGCUACGGACAGCGCGAUCGUCACGGUGACGGCGAAGGAUGCUGACGACGGCGUCAAACGCUGAGCUACGAUACUCCACCUAGACGCUGACCGCCUGAGGGGGAAGUGAUAAACGAUCGAUCCUGUCACUUCGGCGUCAUCCGUC